rnacentral:rRNA from 1 species
UACAGAGGGGGCAAGCGUUGUUCGGAAUUACUGGGCGUGAAGGGCGCGUAGGCGGCCUUCUAAGUCGAACGUGAAAUCCCUGGGCUCAACCCAGGAACUGCGUCCGAUACUGGAAGGCUUGAAUCCGGGAGAGGGAUGCGGAAUUCCAGGUGUAGCGGUGAAAUGCGUAGAUAUCUGGAGGAACACCGGUGGCGAAGGCGGCAUCCUGGACCGGCAUUGACGCUGAGGCGCGAAAGCCAGGGGAGCAAACGGG